rnacentral:rRNA from 1 species
UACGUAGGGUGCAGGCGUUAAUCGGAAUUACUGGGCGUAAAGCGUGCGCAGGCGGUUUUGUAAGUCAGAUGUGAAAGCCCCGGGCUUAACCUGGGAACUGCGCUUGAAACUGGGAGACUUGAGUAUGGCAGAGGGGGGUGGAAUUCCACGUGUAGCAGUGAAAUGCGUAGAUAUGUGGAGGAACACCGAUGGCGAAGGCAGCCCCCUGGGUUAACACUGACGCUCAUGCACGAAAGCGUGGGGAGCAAACAGG